rnacentral:ncRNA from 1 species
AUUAAUUUAUAGAUACUAGCGCCGAAAAUUUAACGGGUCUUAAACAUUCAACCGAUAUCGUGUUGGUUAACUUUAAUUUUUUCCGCGUUAAGCAGAACAACAAUUGAAGUUAAUUUAGGUAGUAGAACAUUCAGUCAAACUAAUGAUAAUACAGUGUUUCAUUGUAUUUUAGGUUACUGAAGAGAUAAUGCUGACAUGAGUAACGUAAAAAGAAGUUAUAAUACUUCUCGCCGAAUACGAAAGGGUUUCAAUUAAGAAAGGUUAAUCCACUUUGAUUUAAUGCGGCCUCUAAGGAUAAUAGCUAAAGCUAUGACUGAUGAGUAUAAAAUAGAAAGUCUUGUUCCCUUAUGGUUACUACCUUCCCUCUGCCUGCUGCAUUCUUUUGCUGCAGUAGUAUAAGAUACUAAGCAUGGUAGUAAUAAGAAUAGACCAGGAAAUUAAUAUUUUAUUACCUUCCUAUUUUUUAGGUUGGAUGGUAACUACCGUACCCUAAACCGACACAGGUUCGUAGGUAGAGUAUACUAAGGCGUAGAGCUAAAAGUUGUUAAGGAACUCGGCAAGAUCACCUCAUAAGUUUGACGAUAAGAGGUACCGCACAAAUUUUUUUCCCUGCUUGCAAUAAGGGGCAGUGCAAACAAAAUUAAAGCGGUGGCACAGAAUCGGAGGCCCCGACUGUUUACUAAAAACACAUCACAGUGCAAUCAUUAAUAUGAUAGUAUACUGUGUGAAAUUUGCCCGAUGCCAUUAAUAUAAGAACGGUCAUUAACAAAAAGUGACUUAUCGAAAAUCUGGUUAAUAGCGGUCUUAACUAUGAGGAUUUGAUUAAAAACCUAUAGGGUCCUCAAUAAACUCGAUGAUAUGCUGGAACAUCCUAAAGCUUUAAGUACUUUAACAAUUUAAAGUAAAAAUU